UAUGGGGAAACGGCAAAGAAAGAUUAGACGUAUUACCUCCAGUCUGGGAAUGUGAUGAAUUGUGGAUGGUAAAUGUAAACAUGAAAUGGGAGGAGAUAACAAAGCUUGUUUACAUGUCUGAGAAGUUACAGUGGAUCAUCCACGCCCCCUACCGCUAGUAACGUUGAUACGUUGCAGUAAAUGGGAGACUUAUGAUCAGCACGGAA